rnacentral:rRNA from 1 species
CGUAGGUGGCGAGCGUUGUCCGGAAUUACUGGGUGUAAAGGGCGUGUAGGCGGGGAGAUAAGUCAGAUGUGAAAUUCCAGGGCUCAACCCUGGCGCUGCAUCUGAAACUAUUUCUCUUGAGUGCUGGAGAGGAAAGCGGAAUUCCUAGUGUAGCGGUGAAAUGCGUAGAUAUUAGGAGGAACACCAGUGGCGAAGGCGGCUUUCUGGACAGUAACUGACGCUGAGGCGCGAAAGCGUGGGGAGCAAACAGGAUUAGAUACCCUGGUAGUCCACGCUGUAAACGAUGGAUACUAGGUGUAGGAGGUAUCGACCCCUUCUGUGACCGCAGUUGACACAUAAGUAUCCCACCUGGGGAGUACGGCCGACAAGGUUG